AAGUCUUCCAAAGUCUGCUCCAUAUCUGAAAAACAAGUAUAUCAAACUCAGAUCUGAAAAAUCUGCAUAUCAAAAAACAUUCAAAUAGUUUAAAAACAGAGAAAAUGAGUGGAAGAUUAGAUAGAUCUAUCUUUAUAGAACACACAAAAAUACAUAUCUAAAAUUAAUAAAUCUACCUUUAAAUGAGUGGAAGAUGAGAACCAUUUGAUGAAAAACCUGCAAAACAAGAUAAACUAGUGAGAAAGACAUGAGACAAAGACAAUAAAUUGAUAUAAAGUUUGGUGUUUAUAAGUUCAAAGAGAUUAGAGAGAGGUUGAAGAGUUUUAGAAUGAGGAACAUAACAUUUUUGUUGCAGCCAUUUGAGAAGAGGAGAGAAAAUGUGUAAAUUUUUCUGUAUAUAUGGAGACAAAAUUCCAAUAAGGUUAAAUAUUUUCGAUUCAGAAGACUUUCAAGUAAGUCUUCUAAUAGAAGAAUUUCUAGACGACUCACUUGUAAGUCGCUCAGAAGACUUCAAUAUUUUUAGCGGGAAACUAAAAUAGUUUUAGAGGAAAACUAUAAUAUUUUUAGCGGGAGUCAGAAGACUUUCAGAGAAGUCUUCUAAUCGCCAGACGACUUAGAUGUUAGUCGUCUAGACCCUAAAUAUAACCCCUAAACUAAAUUAACUAACUACUUAAAAAGUGUUUACUAAACACAUAAAUAAACACUUAUAGGUAAAAUUUUAAUUAAAAAAAACAUUUAAGCUUUCCAAAAUCUAACCCUAAGAAUAUAUACAAUACUAUAACAUAUGUUGUCAAACCCUAAGCCAAAGAAUAUCAUGAUUAACUACUUUCACUCAUCUAUAUUGAAAUGUAUUCAAUUUUAUUAAAUCUUAAUUUAUAUCACUUAAAAAUAUUUAUAAUUACGUGAUUUUAAUUUUUCACUUGUCAAAAUAUUUUUUAAAAAAAUUAUUAAAUUAUUUUUAAGAUCAACUAUACCAGAAGACUUCCAUUGACGUUGUCUAGACGAUGCACAGUAUCUCAGAAGACUCAGAAGACUUUUCGGGGGUAUAUUCGUAAAAAUUAGUUAUGUUUUUUUUGUUUGGUCACAAGAGGCUGGCUGUAAUUUCACAUGGCUUUUGGGUUACUUUUGCAUUUGAUUCAAGUUUGGGUAUAUUUUUGCAAUCAAAGUCAACUUUUGAGUCAUAUUUGGCAAAUCUCCUAUACUUCUAUGUAUAAUUGUUUUAAAAAAUAUAGGUGGUUUAUAAUAUGUUAUUUGAUCCCGACAAUCCCACGAAUAGACUUCUAUAAAUCAAAGUGAUUUUUAAUAUUGGAAACACUUUAUAUCUAUAUAUUAUUUCAUCAGAUUAAAUAUGUUAGUCUUGAUUUGUAUUCCUAAAAAGCUUUUAAUGAAAUAUCAACACACGAUUUCGAUCACCUCCUUUUGAGUUUGUUCGAAUAAUAAGAUAUUUGAUCAUUCGUCUAACAAUUCUUACUUUAUACAUAGUUAACAUAUACUAGAAUAGUAAAGUAUUAUAUAUAUUUUUAUCGGGAUACUCUUAAGUAACUAAAACUCAAAAGCGUAAAUCAAUAAAAUAAGUAAUUUGUUUUGUUGUUUUUAGAAUUAGAUGACUAUUAGACCGAACUGGUGAAUAUACUAGACAUACAUUUAUAUUUUGAUUUUGCACUUAUAUUCUAUAACAAAUUGAUAUAUUAGAUUUGAACACUAACCUGUAAAUAGAGUUUGCCGGUGAUUUUCUUCAAAAAUUUGAUUCUAAGAUAUGUAUCUUUAGUGGAACUAGUUUUUUACAGAUGUCCAUCUUUUUAAAUUGACACUUAUGUAAUUCACCGAAUUCACAGAAAAAGUAAAAAAAAAAAACUCAUAUGAUUGAAACAGAAAUGAGAACGAAAACACAAUUUUAUAGAAAUGGAAAUGAAAUCACUUACGGAGAGUAAAUAAUAACAAAUCGAGAGCAGAAAACCUAAUUCCAUUUCGUCAUUUUACAAUUGGUGUUGCAUAUCUGGUUUUUGUAAUUUGUGUCAGCCGUAAAACUUAAUUUUCUUUUGUGAAUAUGAAUUUUUAAAAAUAAUUAAAAUAAGUAGUAAUACGUUAACUCUUCAACAACAAUGAUACAUUUAAGAGACCAAAUUUUAUAUUUGUUAUUUUGCGGUCGAUAAAAAUUGUAGUGUUGUAAAAUAUUAAAACAUGAAGAAACUUUAAUAUAUAAAAAACUCAUGCGAAUGGUUAUCAAUUAGUCUUAACUUAAAACUCAAAAUUUAGUUAUCUUCAAUUAAGGUUGAUAUUUAUUCUUUUCUUUAAUCUUUUUUUCUUUUCUCUCCGUCGACAGAUUCAUUCUCCAUUUUUCUUCAUUUCAUCUUCUUUCACUCUCAUCUCUUCCAUCUCUGUACUCUAGAAAGCUCACCAACAGGGGUGGAACGUAUGUUGUGAUCAACGGGUCACGUGUCCCCAACUAAAAAUAUACUUUUUUAAGUGACCAUCUUAGUAUUAGCUUGAAUUCAAUGAAAGUGCCCCCAGUUAAUUCAAAAUUUAUGUCAAAUCCCCCUACUAAAUGCUUUCCUAUAUCCGCCCCUGCUCACCAUUUCUCUCAGGUCUCACUUUUCAGAUGUAAUCAACUGGGAAAUGAUGAAGAUGUGAUGGAGCGACAAAGAUGGAGACUCGCUGGGUCGAAGCGCCGAGGCUCACCCGAGAAGAAGACGCCCCGGAGAAGGUAGAUGAGGCAGUAAAAGAUGAUGUUUGGUGGUGAUGCAGAGGUCCGAAGAAGAGGUAAAAGAAAAGAAAUCGAUGGAACCAAUCGAGGAGGAAGAUGCAACAUAACAAUAGAAUCUCAAAAUUUUCAAAGUUCCUGAGAAUUCAGUUACCAAUAACCCCUCCUAAAUCUAUAUCGUGGAGAUUAAAAUAUAUACGGAAACUUAUUGUACAAAAACCAUUGACGUAAAUAAUGUCUCAAAUACGAGAAAAAAAAACAAUCAGAUAAGUUUUCUUACGUCACAAAGAAGAAUUCAUUUUUAUAAAUCAAAAUCAAAGAAUCAA